rnacentral:rRNA from 1 species
UGGGAACCUUCCCUAUGGUUCGGAAUAGCUCAGGGAAACUUGGGGUAAUACCGGAUAAGCCCUUCGGGGAAAGAUUUAUCGCCAUUGGAUAGGCCCGCGUCGGAUUAGCUAGUUGGUGAGGUAACGGCUCACCAAGGCAACGAUCCGUAGCUGGUCUGAGAGGAUGAUCAGCCACACUGGGACUAAGACACGGCCCAGACUCCUACGGGAGGCAG